rnacentral:rRNA from 1 species
UCAGGGAAGAACAAAAUGACGGUACCUGAGGAAUAAGCAUCGGCUAACUCUGUGCCAGCAGCCGCGGCAAUACAGAGGAUGCAAGCGUUAUCCGGAAUGAUUGGGCGUAAAGCGUCCGUAGGUGGUUUGUCAAGUCUGUGGUUAAAGCGUGGAGCUUAACUCCAUAACGGCCAUGGAAACUGACAGACUAGAGUUAAGUAGGGGUAGAAGGAAUUCCCAGUGUAGCGGUGAAAUGCGUAGAGAUUGG